rnacentral:rRNA from 1 species
UACGUAGGGGGCAAGCGUUGUCCGGAAUCAUUGGGCGUAAAGAGCGUGUAGGCGGCCACUUAAGUCCGGCGUGAAAUCUUGCGGCUCAACCGCAAGCGGUCGUGGGAAACUGGGUGGCUAGAGUGCGGGAGAGGAGAGUGGAAUUCAUGGUGUAGCAGUGAAAUGCGUAGAGAUCAUGAGGAAGACCAGUGGCGAAGGCGGGUCUCUGGACAGUUCCUGACACUGAGGCACGAAGGCCAGGGGAGCAAACGGG